UUGUGUGAACAAAUGACUCAUAAUGCCUAUUGAUGCCAACCUUGGAAACACAAGAAUUGAAAGUGUUAGAGAAGGUCUAUAGGACUCUGAAGACCAAAACCCCAAUGUAGAAAGAUGGGGAGAGUGAAAUCAGAAACAUCCAAGAAUGGACCUUGCUUUCAGAAGAAAUAACAGUUUGCAGUUAGCAUUAUAUGCUUUGGGUAAUUAAUUUCAUAAGUCAAGGUGUUAAGCUAGCAUUCCCAAACUGAAUCCUGAGGAAUUCUUGGAAUAUUAUAUAAGGAAAGAAGAAUCCUAUGGUCAAAAUACCUGAGAAACCUUAAACUGAGCAGAAGAAGCUUGAUCAUUGGUAAGAAGAUAAGCCGGAAAAGAAGGAGAAGCUUUAUGUCUAAACUCUCAUUCAUUGAGCAACCACAUAAAAGUAAGGUUUUCAGAGGAGGAGAAAUUCUAAGUGAUGAAAAGGCCCAGAAUAUGCCCUUGGAAAUUAAUGGCUAGAGUGGAGAUGAAGGUUACUGGAGUAUAAGAGAUCAAGAAAUGGAUUGGUUUGGAGGCUGGAAAUCCAAGAUCAUGGUGCCGUCCCAGUCAGUGUGCUUUGGAGGCCUCCCCCACUGAGAGUGAAGCCUAGGGCUCCUCCAAUUGCAUCUGCAAGAGCUCGGGACUGCUCUAACCAAUAGGGUGCAGCAGGGUGAUGCUCUGUGACUUCUGAGGCCAGCUCACAAAAAGACAACAGCAUUCAGCUAGCUCUCUCCUUAGGAUGUUUGUUCUGGGAAAGCCAGCUAUCAUGCUAAGAGGAAGCCUAAACUCACCACACAAGAGACCACAAAGUUUCACCUGGAGAGAAACUGAGGCCUUCAGCCAAUAACCAGCAGCACCUAUUGGACAUGGCUCCAGAAGCUGAAACUGAGGAAUCACCCUAGAGAAGUGUUCUACUCUUGGAGACCGGAUUGAGAUGAUGAGAUCCCAGACUUUAAGCUGAGGCUUCAAUGGGAUGAGAUCUGUAGGGCUAGAGGGAAGGCAUGAGUAUAUUUUGCAUGUGUGGGUAUUUGAAUUGUUAUGUCCAGAAGACAGAUUAUGGCAGAUGUUAUUUCAUACAAGCAACAAUGUCUCCAUUUACAAUAGCUUACAAUGUGAUGGCUCCUCCCACUGAAAGGUGAGGUCUUUGUUCUCUCCCCUUGAGUUGGGGCAGUGGCUUGUGAUUGCUUCAACCAAUAGAGUAAGGCAGAAGGGAUGCUACGUGACAUCCAGGGCUAGAUCUUUGCGGGACACUGGCUCCUCUCUGAGAAAGCCUCCUAUCAGGCUGUGAGAAAGUCCAAAUUAGCCCAGGUAGAGAGAACAUGUAGAGAGGCCCCAAGAAGAGGAACAGAGGCCCCAGCCAAUAUCAAGGUUGAGUAAAGAAGCCUCCAGAUGAUUCAGGAUGCCUCAGCUGCUGCCAUGUGGGACAGAGAUGAGCUAUAUACAUCAAGCUUUGUCCAAAUUGCAGGUUCAUGAACAAUAGAUAAAUUCUGUUUUUGUUUUGAGCCACUAAUUUUGGGGGUAACUUGUUAUGCAGCAUUAAAUUGCCAUAACAAAGGUAAAUCCCUGUAUCAGAAGGCAGAGUCUGGCAUUGGGAGGUAGAAUCCGAAAUUAGAGUAUAGCCCUGAAAUGGGAAACACCUUAUGCGAAGGUUAAGCCCUGUAUCAGGAGGAAGAAACACAAGAGUUAUGGCCUGCUCUGUACCCCUCACUGGGAGACCUGGGACAAGACAUCUGAAUGUCUCAAGGUCUUAGGUGCGUCAUCUGAAAAAAAGACAUGAUAACUUCUUUCACCGAAAAGGAGAUACUCUUGAGAUUACUUUAGAUUCUGCCCCAGACUUUGUGAUUCUAAAUUGCCAUUUAUUCAUUCAAAUACUCAUUGUGACCUGAAACUGUGAUCAAACUUAGAAUUUAUUUCCAAAUGGAAAGCCUCCACUGAGAAAUGGGGUAGAAAAAUAGCAUCAGUAGUAGUAAAAAAAAAAAUCUCAUCACUUCCUUUUUGUGUCUUCUAAAAUAUUCCCUCACCAAUCUUCACCAUACUCUGUUCAUAUGUACAUCUUUAACUGAGGUUACUCUUAAAGGAUAAGAGAAAAUACAAAUGUGUAUAUUUUCCUUUCAAAAAAGUAGCAGCAAAGAAUGAAAUUAACUCUUCUCUUUUGCAAUUAGUCCCUAUGCUACUAAGAAAACAUCCUCAUUUUUCUGAGUUCUUGUAAAUAAUAUCCUUUGCAAGCAAAGAUCUUCAUUCUUAAGUA